rnacentral:sRNA from 1 species
CGGUUCCGUCCCGCUCACCUCCACGUCCUCCAGGAGGCUGGAGUGGUUCCGGCAGGAAAGCUUGAGCAACUGAGGGC